GACAUCCGUUGGUUUUAUAGAUCGUGAGG
rnacentral:tRNA from 2 species